rnacentral:rRNA from 1 species
UACGGAGGGUGCGAGCGUUGUCCGGAAUCACUGGGCGUAAAGGGCGCGUAGGUGGCUUCUCAAGCCGCGCGGUGAAAGCCCGGGGCUCAACCCCGGGUCGGCCGUGCGGACUGGGAGGCUCGAGCACUGUAGAGGCGGGUGGAAUUCCGGGUGUAGCGGUGGAAUGCGUAGAGAUCCGGAAGAACACCGGUGGCGAAGGCGGGUCUCUGGGCCGAUACUGACGCUGAGGAGCGAAAGCGUGGGGAGCGAACAGG